rnacentral:lncRNA from 1 species
AAAAAGUCAUGUUUGGAGUUGUGUGGGGUUGAAUAAUUAUGUUUGUAAUAUUUCAGAAGUUGGCAGGAAAAGAAAAAAAAUAGAAAAGAAAAAAAAGGAAUGAAAAAAUAGAAGGAUAAGAGGAAGAAAAAAUAGAAGGAUAAGAGGAAGAAAAAAAAAGGAAUUAUGUUUGUAAUAUUUCAAUACAUGUCAAUACAUACUCCUUUAAAAAAAGGAAUAAAAAGAGGAAGGAGAAGAGAAAACAAUUGCUAUAGAGUUGUUCAAGUGAAUGAAAUAUUUUGUAAAUUCAACUCCCGUAGUUUCUUUCAAGUCUCUUUUAUCUCUUUGAAUUUUAGCCUAGUACCCCUUAGG